rnacentral:rRNA from 1 species
ACGGCGAGUGAAGCGGCAAAAGCUCAAAUUUGAAAUCUGGUACCUUCGGUGCCCGAGUUGUAAUUUGGAGAGGGCAACUUUGGGGCCGUUCCUUGUCUAUGUUCCUUGGAACAGGACGUCAUAGAGGGUGAGAAUCCCGUGUGGCGAGGAGUGCGGUUCUUUGUAAAGUGCCUUCGAAGAGUCGAGUUGUUUGGGAAUGCAGCUCUAAGUGGGUGGUAAAUUCCAUCUAAAGCUAAAUAUUGGCGAGAGACCGAUAGCGAACAAGUACAGUGAUGGAAAGAUGAAAAGAACUUUGAAAAGAGAGUGAAAAAGUACGUGAAAUUGUUGAAAGGGAAGGGCAUUUGAUCAGACAUGGUGUUUUGUGCCCUCUGCUCCUUGUGGGUAGGGGAAUCUCGCAUUUCACUGGGCCAGCAUCAGUUUUGGUGGCAGGAUAAAUCCAUAGGAAUGUAGCUUGCCUCGGUAAGUAUUAUAGCCUGUGGGAAUACUGCCAGCUGGGACUGAGGACUGCGACGUAAGUCAAGGAUGCUGGCAUAAUGGUUAUAUGCCGCCCGUCUUGAAACA